GAUGAAGAACGUAGCGAAAUGCGAUAAGUAAUGUGAAUUGCAGAAUUCAGUGAAUCAUCGAAUCUUUGAACGCACCUUGCACCCUUUGGUAUUCCGAAGGGUAUGCUCGUUUGAGUGUCAUUGUACUCUCACACUUCUAAUUCCUUUCGGGAUUGGGAGCGGUGGACUUGGGUGUUGCUGCUUUAGUUGUGGCUCACCUCAAAUAAGUUAGUGCAACUCUUGGUUGGACAUAGUACGGCGUGAUAAGUGUCUUCGCCGGCGCCUCUGUAAGGAGGGUGGCCGAUCGGGAGCUCUGUGCUUCAAACCGUCUUCGGACAAUCUUUGACAACUUGACCUCAAACCGAGUAGGACUACCCGCUGAACUUAAGCAUAUCAAUAAGCGGAGGA
rnacentral:misc_RNA from 1 species